GACGAACGCUGGCGGCGUGCUUAACACAUGCAAGUCGAACGGAAAGGCCCUGCUUUUGUGGGGUGCUCGAGUGGCGAACGGGUGAGUAACACGUGAGUAACCUGCCCUUGACUUUGGGAUAACUUCAGGAAACUGGGGCUAAUACCGGAUAGGAGCUCCUGCUGCAUGGUGGGGGUUGGAAAGUUUCGGCGGUUGGGGAUGGACUCGCGGCUUAUCAGCUUGUUGGUGGGGUAGUGGCUUACCAAGGCUUUGACGGGUAGCCGGCCUGAGAGGGUGACCGGCCACAUUGGGACUGAGAUACGGGCCAGAAUCCUACGGGAGGGAACAGUGGGGAAUAUUGCACAAUGGGCGGAAGCCUGAUGCAGCAACGCCGCGUGCGGGAUGACGGCCUUCGGGUUGUAAACCGCUUUCGCCUGUGACGAAGCGUGAGUGACGGUAAUGGGUAAAGAAGCACCGGCUAACUACGUG
rnacentral:rRNA from 1 species